GCGACCCCAGGUCAGGCGGGGACACCCGCUGA
rnacentral:rRNA from 3 species